UGGCCUCCAAUUGCCCAAUCUUUUCGUUCGUGACCUGCAAGUCAUUAUCAAGCCCUUUUGUGUGCGUCUUCACUAGCUUUUCAAAAUGUUGUAUGAUGCCCUUGGUGUCCUCUGUUCCUGUCAUGGUUAGACAAACAAUGGCAACAAGAAAACAGAUGGUGAAGAAAUAAAAACCCUACAGCUAUUAGGAUGUAGCUAUUGCAAGGUGCUCACUCUCAACCCGUUUCACAAGCU
rnacentral:lncRNA from 1 species